CUGAACGCGAAUAACGAUCUGGCAGGGAGCAGGUGUGCCUCCAGGGAUUAAGAAGGGGGCUCAUUAGUGUCCUGAUGCACAACAGGUGCGCGGGGUGAAGCAACUCACAGGCAUGAUUUCCCGCAGCUGUGACAGAAAUCAUUUGUUGUCAGGUUUGAAAUUCGAAGAUAAUGAAACUUUAAUGAUCAGCUGACUGACCAGAGCAAAGCUACCUGAGGCCUGUGGGACAAGGUUCUAGGACAAGGGUGUCAAACUCAUUUUGGUCUGGGGGCCGAAUACAGCUUAAUCUGAUCUCAAGUGGGCCGGGCCAGUAAACUCAUUGCAAAAUUACAUAGAACUAACAAUAAGCCCACUUUUUUCUUUCUAUUCUUUCUUCAUUCACACCAUUCCAGGAGACCCAGUGACUCACCACCAUGUGAUCCAGCAGACAAAGGGGAGACACCUCAACAGAAACUAGGUGAACGACCCGACCAACGACCCUGCCAACGACUGUCAGGCUUAAAGAAUACCUGUCUAUCUGGGAAACAACGGAGAACAAGGACUGUACCAGCAUCCAAUGGAACUGGAAGAAGACGAGGUCAUCCAAGCAGAAGGACUGGAUUGGACUGAAUUAGCAUCAAUAAUUUACAUAUGUGUUUCUUUAAAAGACUGGGCCAAGGGAUAGUUAGGUUGUCAGACUUCAUGCCCUGGCAAUUGACUGUUAUUGUAGGGUUUUGCUAAAUACAGUUAUUUGCUAAAUACAGUUUGAAAUUGGCAUUUUUCUCCUUAAAGUCUUCAUUCAGGGAACACGUGGAUCAGCAGUGACACACUUGAGAAUAUAGCAAUCUAACAAUCGUCACUAUAUAGCUCCUUAAUAUACCAUAUAGAGCAUUAUUAUAUAGAUCAUUAUUAUAUAGCUCAUUCAUAUACUAUGUAGAUCGUUACUACAUAGAUGAUAUGUCGAUCAUGACUCAUCAUUAAGCGUCUUAUUCCGAUUGUCCCCAACAAGCAGCCGUCUCUCUUCUCUCCUCUCAAAAUCACUGUAGUUCCGGUAUCUAAACACAAUUUCAACCAAACAACACAAAUGUUUCCGAGAACAUUUCCAUCGUUUUGCUGCGACUCAAACUCGUGCGUCCUGCGCCUCGAGCCAUCGCGCUGUGCUGCGUUUCUCUGAAGGAGAGUUCUCCACCAAGUCCAACAUCAUGGCCGUGUCCUCCCCAGGACUGCAGGACUGGGUGGAUCCUGGAGUCCUAGGUGAAAAUGACAUCAGCAUCAUGUUAGCUAUGGAAGACGUCCUGCAUCGUCCCAGUGCCGAAGACACUGCACCAAGGAGCUCAACAGCUACGGGCCAGUAGCUCUGACGUCUCAUCUGAUGAAGAUGCUGGAGAGACUCGUCCUCAUCCAUCUGCACCCGUUGGUGAGCUUCUUCAUGGACCUGCUGCAGUUCGCCUACCAGCCCAAGGUCGCGGGUGGUUGAUGCCGUCAUCUACCUCCUCCACACCUCCCUCACUCACCUGGAGAAGGCUGGAAGCAUUGUGAGGAUCAUGUUUUUUGAUUUCUCCAGUGCAUUCAACACCAUCCAGCCCAGGCUG
rnacentral:lncRNA from 1 species